UGGGGCCUAGGGGGGCAGCAGUCGAGAAUCAUUCACGAUGGGGGAAACCCUGAUGGUGCGACGCCGCGUGGGGGAAUGAAGGUCUUCGGAUUGUAAACCCCUGUCAUGUGGGAGCAAAUUAAAAAGAUAGUACCACAAGAGGAAGAGACGGCUAACUCUGUGCCAGCAGCCGCGGUAAUACAGAGGUCUCAAGCGUUGUUCGGAAUCACUGGGCGUAAAGCGUGCGUAGGCUGUUUCGUAAGUCGUGUGUGAAAGGCGCGGGCUCAACCCGCGGACGGCACAUGAUAC
rnacentral:rRNA from 1 species